UACAGGGGGGGCAAGCGUUGUUCGGAAUUACUGGGCGUAAAGGGCGCGUAGGCGGCCUUCUAAGUCAGACGUGAAAUCCCCGGGCUCAACCCGGGAACUGCGUCUGAUACUGGAGGGCUUGAAUCCGGGAGAGGGAUGUGGAAUUCCAGGUGUAGCGGUGAAAUGCGUAGAUAUCUGGAGGAACACCGGUGGCGAAGGCGGCAUCCUGGACCGGUAUUGACGCUGAGGCGCGAAAGCCAGGGGAGCAAACGGG
rnacentral:rRNA from 1 species